rnacentral:rRNA from 1 species
GAACCGUCCAAACGUUAUUCGGUAUCACUGGGCUUAAAGCGUGCGUAGGCGGCUUGGUAGGUGAGAUGUGAAAGCCCACGGCUCAACCGUGGAAUUGCGUUUCAAACCCCCAAGCUCGAGGAAGAUAGGGGUGAUGGGAACUUAUGGUGGAGCGGUGAAAUGCGUUGAUAUCAUAGGGAACACCGGUGGUGAAAGCGCAUCACUGGAUCUUUUUCUGACGCUGAGGCACGAAAGCUAGGGUAGCGAACGGGGGAUUAGAUACCCCGGUAGUCCUAGCCGUAAACGAUGAACACUGGGUUGGGGGACUUCCCACAUCCUCCCGGCCGUAGCGAAAGCGUUAAGUGUUCCGCCUGGGGAGUAUGGUCGCAAGGCUG